rnacentral:rRNA from 1 species
UGGGGAAUAUUGCACAAUGGGCGCAAGCCUGAUGCAGCCAUGCCGCGUGUGUGAAGAAGGCCUUCGGGUUGUAAAGCACUUUCAGCGGGGAGGAAGGCGUUAAGGUUAAUAACCUUGGCGAUUGACGUUACCCGCAGAAGAAGCACCGGCUAACUCCGUGCCAGCAGCCGCGGUAAUACGGAGGGUGCAAGCGUUAAUCGGAAUUACUGGGCGUAAAGCGCACGCAGGCGGUCUGUCAAGUCGGAUGUGAAAGCCCCGGGCUCAACCUGGGAACUGCAUUCGAAACUGGCAGGCUAGAGUCUUGUAGAGGGGGGUAGAAUUCCAGGUGUAGCGGUGAAAUGCGUAGAGAUCUGGAGGAAUACCGGUGGCGAAGGCGGCCCCCUGGAAAAAGACUGACGCUCAGGUGCGAAAGCGUGGGGAGCAAACAGG